UAUACUUUUGCCUGAAAAAAGGGAGAUAAUUGGCUACUUCCGGUUAAGAAAAUGUCACUUCCGGUCUCAUAUGAUAGAUUUAUUUACACUGAUUCCAAAAAUAUAUGGUUUAUAUAUACUUUUGCCUGUAAUAAGGGAGAUAAUAUGCUACUUCCGGUUUAUAAAAUAUCACUUCCGGUCUCAAAUGAUAGAUUAAUGUAUGACUAUUCAAAAAAUAUAUGGUUUCUAUGUACUUCUACAUGAAAUAAGUGCAAAAAUGACCACUUCCGGUUCACUCAAUGUCACUUCCGGUUGACAUUUUUCAAGGUCAUAUGUCACCCAACAUUUUGCAAAAGAUCUUAUGGCUUUAUCAUGUACCAAUAUGAAGUAAUAAUCAAUUUACCUUAAAAUAAAACAUUUCAGGGGCAAUAACUCCAAUAAGAUGUCGCUGGAUUGUCUCAGACCAAUGUAUCAUAUCUUCAUUACAAUAAAGCAAACAUUUUGCACUUGUUCUUUUAUAUAUAUCUUUAAAAGUGUUUGAGAAAAUGCAAAAACAAGGAAAAGUCAAAAUUUAGAACUUGACCUUGACCUUUGACCUUGACUUCAUUUUCUAAGUUGGGACCUAGGGGCCUCAUAUAAAAACAUUCCAGGGUUAUACGGUUAAAGGUUUGUGAGAUAAAAAAACAUACCGACAAAUUUUUUUGGUAAAGGUAGAUAACUCCUAUAAAAUUUCAUCGAAUCGCUUCGAUCCAAAUUAGCCAAAAAUUCCUGAGGAUGUAACGAACAAUUUAGAAAAAGAAUUUUGUCGAUAUCUUUUUUUGUUACGAAGGAGAUGCACACACUUGAUAAACAGUGAAUAGGGAGAUAACUCUUACAAAGAAAAUUGUUCGUCUAAGCAGGAUGAAAUUUAAAAGCGCAUAAACUAUACGAUACAAUAUGAGAAAUAUCUAAGCGACAUAUUGCGAAACAAAUAUUUAUCGCAAGAACAAAAUUAGGGGGAAGAAAAAAAAAAAAUAAUAAUAAUAAUAAUCAGAACAAAUACAAUAGGUCUUUCCACAGAAAAGUGGAAAGACCUAAUAAUAAUCAGAACAAAUACAAUAGGUCUUUCCACAGAAAAGUGGAAAGACCUAAUAAUAAUAAUAAUCAGAACAAAUACAAUAGGUCUUUCCACAGAAAAGUGGAAAGACCUAAUAAUCAGAAGAAAACCAAUAGGUCUUUCCACAGAAAAGUGGAAAGACCUAAUAAUCAGAAGAAAACCAAUAGGUCUUUCCACAGAAAAGUGGAAAGACCUAAUAAUCAGAAGAAAACCAAUAGGUCUUUCCACAGAAAAGUGGAAAGACCUAAUAAUCAGAAGAAAACCAAUAGGUCUUUCCAAAGAAAAGUGAAAGACCUAAUAAUAAUCAGAAGAAAAUCAAUAGGUCUUUCCACAGAAAAGUGGAAAGACCUCAUAAUAAG